AAAACUAAACUUCAUUAUGAUUUAAAGGAUCCUCAGUUAAGUCAAUGUAAGAAGAAGAAGAAGAGAAAAAACACAGGUCUUAACGUCUUAAUGGAACUGGAAAAGCAAGGAUCAUGUCAGCUGAACUCAAUUAAUGAAACCAGGAAUGAAUGCCAUCACCCAUCUUGUGAGCUGUUGAGGGAGAACAACCACAGGCUGCAGAGGGAAAAUGAUUCUCUCAAGGCAAAAAUA